rnacentral:rRNA from 1 species
UCAGGAUGAACGCUAGCUACAGGCUUAACACAUGCAAGUCGAGGGCAGCAUAAUCGAAGCUUGCUUUGAUUGAUGGCGACCGGCGCACGGGUGAGUAGCGCGUAUCCAACCUUCCCCUUAGUAGGGCAUAGCCCGGCGAAAGUCGGAUUAAUACCCUAUGUUAUCCGUCGAGGACAUCUGAAGUGGAUUAAAGAUUUAUCGCUAAGGGAUGGGGAUGCGUCUGAUUAGGUUGUUGGCGGGGUAACGGCCCACCAAGCCUACGAUCAGUAGGGGUUCUGAGAGGAAGGUCCCCCACAUUGGUACUGAGACACGGACCAAACUCCUACGGGAGGCAGCAGUGAGGAAUAUUGGUCAAUGGGCGAGAGCCUGAACCAGCCAAGUAGCCGUGCAGGAUGACGGCCCUAUGGGUUGUAAACUGCUUUUGCAUGGGAAUAAAGUCGGGGACGUGUCCCCGUUUGUAUGUACCAUGAGAAUAAGGACCGGCUAAUUCCGUGCCAGCCGCCGC